UCCUGGUGACAGAGAAAGAAGCAAUAGGAGGAAGCAUAAGGAAAGGAAGAAUUAAGAAGACAACACUUACAAGACAGGAGACAACACUUGCAAGACAGGAGUAAGGGUGGCAUGAAAAGGUUUUGCACAGAAAAGAGAGGGCAAGUGAAGCAGUGCAAGCGUCUCUGAAAUCUGAAUUUGUAUACUGCAGUUAAGAGACACGACAUGACAUGAAGAGUGCAAUGCAAUGUCUAAAGUUAUUUGGCAAGGGAAAAGACAUUUGACAUAAAUUAAAAA